rnacentral:siRNA from 1 species
CAAGUGUCUUUGUGGGUUUCUCAU